UACGUAGGGUGCAAGCGUUAAUCGGAAUUACUGGGCGUAAAGCGUGCGCAGGCGGUUGUGCAAGACAGAUGUGAAAUCCCCGGGCUCAACCUGGGAAUUGCAUUUGUGACUGCACGGCUAGAGUGUGUCAGAGGGGGGUAGAAUUCCACGUGUAGCAGUGAAAUGCGUAGAGAUGUGGAGGAAUACCGAUGGCGAAGGCAGCCCCCUGGGAUAACACUGACGCUCAUGCACGAAAGCGUGGGGGAGCAAACAGGA
rnacentral:rRNA from 1 species